UACGUAGGUGGCAAGCGUUGUCCGGAUUUACUGGGCGUAAAGGGCGCGUAGGCGGCUCAUGAAGGCUGUGGUGAAAGUCCGGGGCUCAACCUCGGAUCGGCCGUGGCGACUCGUGGGCUGGAGCACUGUAGAGGCGGGUGGAAUUCCGGGUGUAGCGGUGGAAUGCGUAGAGAUCCGGAAGAACACCAGUGGCGAAGGCGGCCCGCUGGGCAGUGGCUGACGCUGAGGCGCGACAGCGUGGGGAGCAAACAGG
rnacentral:rRNA from 1 species